GGGAGGCAGACAGUGCCCGGGGCACAGGGGCACGCUGGCUCCUCGAGGGCCGACCUGGGUGGGAGGGCACCCCCGGCUCCUGGUGGAAGGCAGGAGGGCGGCUCCAGUUUAGAGGCCUUGGCGCCCCGGGUGCAGAAGGUGAUAGGGAGGCUCUGCGGAUUAGAGGUCCUGGGAGGCACUCACCGGAGGGCUUGGCUUAGGGGCCCCAAGGCCCUUCCGUGCCAAGCACUCUGGCUCUUGUGGGGCCAGCCAACAUCCGGGGCAGGUGCUGGCGGUGUUCCCCCAUCACUGGGGCUCCGGACGGGGCCCAGACAGUCCAGCUUCAGCUCCCCAGAAACAUGGUACCAAUCUGGGUCAGCUGGCCCUGGGGCCCUCAGUCGGGGAGAUGGGCCGGGCCUGAGUCAGACUUCCAGCGUGGGCCAUGUGCCGCCAACGCAGCUUCCCCAGGAGAGGCCAAGGCAGGGCAAGAAGGAUGGCAAGGGGUCAGCAGGAGGCCGGCGGUUCACUGAUGGGGGGACACAGGUCCCGGGGCCCGGCGCUGGACCCGGAAGGCCCCCCAGAGGGGAGCCUGCCCCUUCGCUCCAGUGGGAGGAUGGCGAGACCUGGACACGGUGCUUCUGCAGUCAGGCGCCCCAGGGGAUUGCUGCUCCUGGCUGCCGGCCGGAGGCACCAAGGGACACCGCAUGGCCNNNNNNNNNNNNNNNNNNNNNNNNNNNNNNNNNNNNNNNNNNNNNNNNNNNNNNNNNNNNNNNNNNNNNNNNNNGCCCCGUGCACAACAGGGGCUCGGUGGGACUUGUUUGUGGCAGCUGCAGGCCUGGGAGAGCCCGCAGGCUGCAGGGACCCCUCGGUUUGUCAGGGGCUCCACCUCCUCUCGGCUGCUCCCUGCUGCUGUGUCACGGGGUGCCCACCAGUGGCUGCAACUGCCAGAGGCAGGGGCGGAGCUGUCAGAAGGGAGCUGGGGGGCCCUCUGUCGCAGCACCACAGCACCUCCUGGACGGGGUGAGAGGACCCGGCACUCUGAAUGCAGCUAGGGGCCACGAGCAGCCUUCUCCCAAGGUGGCCUGUCCAUCCGAUGCCUUGCGUCCUGGAGGACAGACGGGCCAGGCAGCCCCCAGCCCACAUGCGGGCACCUUCGGGCUUCCUGUCCCCGCGGCUGGCGGCCACCACUGCCCACAUGCACCUGGGCCCCCGGCAGGGGGAGCUUGGGGUGGGAGGAGGGUGGACUUGGCACAGGGGACCCUUCCGGGCAGCACGGUGGAGUGUGGCGGGGAAGCCGGGGCAGUGGGGAGAGGUCUGAGUGGCAGAGGAGCGAGGACCGUUCCACCAACUCAGGGGCUCCCUGGGAGCCGGGCAGCACGAGGGAGUGUGGCGGGGAAGCCGGGGCGGUGGGGAGAGGCCUGAGUGGCGGGGGAGCUCAGGGGCCCCUGGGAGGCAGGCUGCUUCUGCAGAGCUGUCUCGGAUUCUUGACACCAGGGUAUUUUGACUCAGGUGAAAGGGGGGAGCUGUUUCACGCGUGCUCCUUUCCUGCUCGUAGAACCACGGGUGAGAGCGUAAAUGGCCCCCAGAGG
ensembl:lncRNA